UGGCUACCGGUGAUGUUUUAUCUCAAGAGGGUCCCCCUUUGGAAUUCUGCAACAAAAAGAUGUGCAGCAAUAUGCAAGCUUCGUCUGUAUAUGUUCGCGAGAUGUACACCAUGACAUAAGUUGUAAAAAAUAGCAUCAAUAUUUAAUUAGAAGGCAUUUUCACAUAUUCACAUACCAAAAGAGUUUUAAAUUUUUGUUGGUCUAAACAAUUCGAACCUAGAACAACAAAAAUGGGACUCAAAGCCAAAAGGUUUCAGUUUCAAAAUAUUCUACAAAUCUGGGAAGGCAAAUUAGGUGGCUAAUGCACUUAGCCGAAAACACAUAUAGGACAAAUCUAUCUUGCUUAAAAUAUCAUAGCCGGUCUCGUUACUUCUAGAUCAACUCAGGAAAUACUAUUACAAACAAAAGGAGGGUCAGAAAUUGAUGGCAAAAUAUCGUUCAGACCCGCACAUGCAACAACUGUUUAGAUUAAAAGAUCAUAUUUUAUAUUAUAAGGACAAAACUUUCAUACCACUGAUGGAAGAGCUUUAACAUGAUAUCAUCCACAAGUACCAUUUAACUCCUACUGCAGGUCACUCAGGACUUCAACCAACAGUAGCUCUCCUUUCAGCAUCCUUCCUUUGGUCGGUAAUUCAGAAGGAUGUCAAGAUUUUUGUAUAACACUCCCAGAUCUGCCAACAUAAUAAAUACAUGUCAAGAAAAACAAGAGUUACUACAACCAUUAGUGAUACCAGCAUAAAAAUGGGAAGGGUAGUCAAUGGACUUCAUAACACACUUACCUUCAUCUUUUGAGCGUACAAUGAUAUGGAUCAUUUGUGACCGCCUUACAAAGCUUGUUCACUUUGUUGCAUUUCUAACCAAGUUCUCUGCCCAUAGUCUCACCAAACAUUUUUCUGUUGAGAUUUGUGGCCUGUAUGAUAUACCCAAAUCAAUAGUUUGAGACAAAGAUCCAUUUUUUCUCAACCCUUUUCGGAAUAAUUUUUUUGUACCCAAGACACUACACUUAAGUAUACAACAACUUACAAUCCCGAAACAAAUGGUCAAACAUAAGUAGUAAAUCAAAGUUUAGAAGCUUACCUCCACUAUUUUGCAAGUGAUCAUCCACUCAUGUGGUACAAGUAUUUGCAUCGGGCUGGAUAUUGGUAUAAUACUUCUUUUCACUUGGCCAUCAAGAUAUCUUCUUUUGAAGCCUUUUAUGGAUUCCCACACCCGGCUCUCCCAAACUAUGUAUAAGGUUUUUUUACCUUGUUUGCUAUAAAAACUAUUUUGAAAAACAAAUAAUAAAUAUGUAACACUUUAAAGGACAACUUGAAGAGAAAUCAACAAAAAAUGUCAGAUCAAGCAAAUAAAGACAAGAUCAACAAUGCCUUUGAAAAUUGUGACUUAUCUCAGAAACUUUCAAAAAAAUAUUUUGGUCCUCUCAAGAU
rnacentral:lncRNA from 1 species